CAUGCAAGUCGAGCGAACAGAUAAGGAGCUUGCUCCUUUGACGUUAGCGGCGGACGGGUGAGUAACACGUGGGUAACCUACCUAUAAGACUGGGAUAACUUCGGGAAACCGGAGCUAAUACCGGAUAACAUUUGGAACCGCAUGGUUCUAAAGUGAAAGAUGGUUUUGCUAUCACUUAUAGAUGGACCCGCGCCGUAUUAGCUAGUUGGUAAGGUAACGGCUUACCAAGGCGACGAUACGUAGCCGACCUGAGAGGGUGAUCGGCCACACUGGAACUGAGACACGGUCCAGACUCCUACGGGAGGCAGCAGUAGGGAAUCUUCCGCAAUGGGCGAAAGCCUGACGGAGCAACGCCGCGUGAGUGAUGAAGGGUUUCGGCUCGUAAAACUCUGUUAUUAGGGAAGAACAAAUGUGUAAGUAACUGUGCACAUCUUGACGGUACCUAAUCAGAAAGCCACGGCUAACUACGUGCCAGCAGCCGCGGUAAUACGUAGGUGGCAAGCGUUAUCCGGAAUUAUUGGGCGUAAAGCGCGCGUAGGCGGUUUCUUAAGUCUGAUGUGAAAGCCCACGGCUCAACCGUGGAGGGUCAUUGGAAACUGGGAAACUUGAGUGCAGAAGAGGAAAGUGGAAUUCCAUGUGUAGCGGUGAAAUGCGCAGAGAUAUGGAGGAACACCAGUGGCGAAGGCGACUUUCUGGUCUGUAACUGACGCUGAUGUGCGAAAGCGUGGGGAUCAAACAGGAUUAGAUACCCUGGUAGUCCACGCCGUAAACGAUGAGUGCUAAGUGUUAGGGGGUUUCCGCCCCUUAGUGCUGCAGCUAACGCAUUAAGCACUCCGCCUGGGGAGUACGACCGCAAGGUUGAAACUCAAAGGAAUUGACGGGGACCCGCACAAGCGGUGGAGCAUGUGGUUUAAUUCGAAGCAACGCGAAGAACCUUACCAAAUCUUGACAUCCUUUGAAAACUCUAGAGAUAGAGCCUUCCCCUUCGGGGGACAAAGUGACAGGUGGUGCAUGGUUGUCGUCAGCUCGUGUCGUGAGAUGUUGGGUUAAGUCCCGCAACGAGCGCAACCCUUAAGCUUAGUUGCCAUCAUUAAGUUGGGCACUCUAGGUUGACUGCCGGUGACAAACCGGAGGAAGGUGGGGAUGACGUCAAAUCAUCAUGCCCCUUAUGAUUUGGGCUACACACGUGCUACAAUGGACAAUACAAAGGGCAGCUAAACCGCGAGGUCAUGCAAAUCCCAUAAAGUUGUUCUCAGUUCGGAUUGUAGUCUGCAACUCGACUACAUGAAGCUGGAAUCGCUAGUAAUCGUAGAUCAGCAUGCUACGGUGAAUACGUUCCCGGGUCUUGUACACACCGCCCGUCACACCACGAGAGUUUGUAACACCCGAAGCCGGUGGAGUAACCAUUUAUGGAGCUA
rnacentral:rRNA from 1 species